rnacentral:rRNA from 1 species
GAUGAACGCUAGCGGCAGGCCUAACACAUGCAAGUCGAGGGGUAACAGGGGAGCUUGCUCCGCUGACGACCGGCGCACGAGUGCGUAACGCGUAUACAAUCUACCUUUUGCUACGGGAUAGCCCAGAGAAAUUUGGAUUAAUACCGCAUAGUAUAUUGAGAUCGCAUGGUUUUAAUAUUAAAGGUUACGGCAGAAGAUGAGUAUGCGUUCUAUUAGCUAGAUGGUGUGGUAACGGCACACCAUGGCAACGAUAGAUAGGGGCCCUGAGAGGGGGAUCCCCCACACUGGUACUGAGACACGGACCAGACUCCUACGGGAGGCAGCAGUGAGGAAUAUUGGACAAUGGGCGAGAGCCUGAUCCAGCCAUGCCGCGUGCAGGAAGACGGCCCUAUGGGUUGUAAACUGCUUUUAUACAGGAAGAAACACCUCUACGAGUAGAGGCUUGACGGUACUGUAAGAAUAAGGAUCGGCUAACUCCGUGC